rnacentral:rRNA from 1 species
GAUGAACGCUGGCGGCGUGCCUAAUACAUGCAAGUCGAGCGAACGGACGAGAAGCUUGCUUCUCUGAUGUUAGCGGCGGACGGGUGAGUAACACGUGGAUAACCUACCUAUAAGACUGGGAUAACUUCGGGAAACCGUAGCUAAUACCGGAUAAUAUUUUGAACCGCAUGGUUCAAAAGUGAAAGACGGUCUUGCUGUCACUUAUAGAUGGAUCCGCGCUGCAUUAGCUAGUUGGUAAGGUAACGGCUUACCAAGGCAACGAUGCAUAGCCGACCUGAGAGGGUGAUCGGCCACACUGGAACUGAGACACGGUCCAGACUCCUACGGGGGGCAGCAGUAGGGAAUCUUCCGCAAAGGGCGAAAGCCCGACGGAGCAACGCCGCGUGAGUGAUGAAGGUCUUCGGAUCGUAAAACUCUGUUAUUAGGGAAGAACAUAUGUGUAAGUAACUGUGCACAUCUUGACGGUACCUAAUCAGAAAGCCACGGCUAACUACGUG